GUUUGACCGGUUUUUGGUUUUGUUUUUAUCAAUUCUUUAGGAUUUCCUACAUAGACAGAUACGUUAUUGGCAAACAAAGACAGUUUAAUUUUGUAGUGGGAGGUCUGAGAGGUGCAAUCUCAAGGCCACCUCACCAAGAUUUCAAAGAAGGAGAGUGAAAGGCAGAGGCCCCCCGUGGCAUGAAGGAACUCAGCAGCUCUGAAGAAAGUCAUCCUGUGUGACUAGAGAUUGGGCUAAAUGGUGGGAGGGACAAGAGAUUAGGAGAUUAAUGUGAGGUGGGCCUCAGAGGAUAGCCAGGGUCAGGAUCUAGUGACAGGCCUUGUGGCCAUGGAAAGAUUUUUGGAUUGUACCCUGAAGGCAAAGAAGACCUGCUGAGGAGUUGAAGCAAGAAGCCAUAGGGUGUAGCUUUAGAAGACAAGAAGGCCAAAUAGUGAGCUCCAGAGACCUCCAUGACAGAGAACUAUUAGAGAAGAAGUAUCUGUUGUUUCAAGCCACCCCAGUUUGUGGUACUUUGGGAUGGCAGCCCUGGGAAGUUAAUAUACAGAGCAGGAUGGAAAAGCCUUUAUUUUGCUGCAAAUCCAGACAGGAAUGAUGGCUGGAGGCAGGGCAGCCACUUUGCAAUCAUGAGGAUGAAACCUACACAGGAAGAAUGGUGGAAUAAACAGCCAAAGGUCUGAGGGUCAACAUUUAUAACAGCUCCUGAUAGCCUGUCUCAAAACUUCUCCUUAACUAAGCAAAAUAAAAUCCAUUGGGUUAAGA